GACGAACCGUGCGAACGUUGUUCGGAUUCACUGGGCUUAAAGGGCGCGUAGGCGGGUUGUCAAGUCAGGGGUGAAAGCCUCCAGCUCAACUGGAGAAGUGCCUUUGAUACUGACGAUCUUGAGGGAGGUAGGGGCAUGUGGAACUUCCGGUGGAGCGGUGAAAUGCGUAGAUAUCGGAAGGAACGCCGGUGGCGAAAGCGACGUGCUGGACCUCUUCUGACGCUGAGGCGCGAAAGCUAGGGGAGCGAACGGG
rnacentral:rRNA from 2 species